UACGAAAGGGGGGCUAGCGUUGCUCGGGAAUCACUGGGCGUAAAGCGCACGUAGGCGGAUUCCUAAGUCGGGGGUGAAAUCCUGGAGCUCAACUCCAGAACUGCCUUCGAUACUGGGAAUCUUGAGUCCGGAAGAGGUGAGUGGAACUGCGAGUGUAGAGGUGAAAUUCGUAGAUAUUCGCAAGAACACCAGUGGCGAAGGCGGCU
rnacentral:rRNA from 1 species